rnacentral:rRNA from 1 species
GAUAACAGUUAGAAAUGACUGCUAAUACCGCAUAAGCGCACAGUCUCGCAUGGGACAGUGUGAAAAACUGAGGUGGUGUGAGAUGGAUCCGCGUCUGAUUAGGCAGUUGGCGGGGUAACGGCCCACCAAACCAACGAUCAGUAGCCGGCCUGAGAGGGUGAACGGCCACAUUGGGACUGAGACACGGCCCAAACUCCUACGGGAGGCAGCAGUGGGGAAUAUUGCACAAUGGGGGAAACCCUGAUGCAGCGACGCCGCGUGAAGGAAGAAGUAUUUCGGUAUGUAAACUUCUAUCAGNANUNAAGAAAGUGACGGUACCUGACUAAGAAGCCCCGGNUAACUACGUGCCAGCAGCCGCGGUAAUACGUAGGGGGCAAGCGUUAUCCGGAUUUACUGGGUGUAAAGGGAGCGUAGGCGGNGAUGCAAGUCAGAAGUGAAAGCCCGGGGCUCAACUCCGGNACUGCUUUUGAAACUGUAUGGCUAGAUUGCAGGAGAGGCNAGUGGAAUUCUUAGUGUANCGGUGAAAUGCNUAGAUAUUANGAGGNACAUCANUGGCGUAGGCGGCUUNNUGNACUGUAACUGANGUUGAGGCUCGAAAGCNUGNNGAGCAAANAGGUUAGAUACCCUGGUANGUCCACGCGGUAAWCGAUGAUNACUAGGUG